GGGCAUGCGGUGUAAGGAGCGGCGUGAAUAGUGAUGGCCGAAGCGUUGUUCGGAUUUACUGGGCUGAAAGGGUGAGUAGGUGGUGGGGUAAUUCUGAUGUGAAAUCUCCAAGCUUAACUUGGAAAUGGCAUUGGAAACUACCUUGCGAGAGGAUUGGAGGGGAGACUGGAAUUCUUGGUGGAGCAGUGAAAUGCGUAGAUAUCAAGAGGAACACCAGUGGCGAAAGCGAGUCUCUGGACAAUUCCUGACACUGAGGCACGAAAGCUAGGGGAGCAAACAGGAUUAGAUACCCCGGUAGUC
rnacentral:rRNA from 1 species